AGCAGCCGCGGUAAUUCCAGCUCCAAUAGCGUAUAUUAAAGUUGUUGCAGUUAAAAAGCUCAUAGUUGAAUUUCGAGACCGGUUUACUGGUCGUGCUUUUGUACGUACUGGUAUAAUCGGUUUCUCUUUUCUGACGAACUAUAAUGCCAUUAAUUUGGUGUUAUAGGGAAUCAGGACUGUUACUUUGAAAAAUUAGAGUGUUUAAAGCAGGCUCACGCUUGAAUACAUUAGCAUGGAAUAACGAAAUAGGACGUUUGAUUUUAUUUUGUUGGUUUCUAGGAUCGACGUAAUGAUUAAUAGGGAUAGUUGGGGGCAUUAGUAUUCAAUUGUCAGAGGUGAAAUUCUUGGAUUUAUUGAAGACUAACUACUGCGAAAGCAUUUGCCAAGGAUGUUUUCAUUAAUCAAGAACGAAGUUAGGGGAUCGAAGACGAUCAGAUACCGUCGUAGUCUUAACCAUAAACUAUGCCGACUAGGGAUCGGAUGAUGUUAAUAUUAAUGACUCAUUCGGCACCUUACGGGA
rnacentral:rRNA from 1 species